AUGAACGCUGGCGGCGUGCCUAAUACAUGCAAGUCGCGCGAACAGACGAGGAGCUUGCUCCUCUGACGUUAGCGGCGGACGGGUGAGUAACACGUGGAUAACCUACCUAUAAGACUGGGAUAACUUCGGGAAACCGGAGCUAAUACCGGAUAAUAUAUUGAACCGCAUGGUUCAAUAGUGAAAGACGGUUUUGCUGUCACUUAUAGAUGGAUCCGCGCCGCAUUAGCUAGUUGGUAAGGUAACGGCUUACCAAGGCAACGAUGCGUAGCCGACCGAGAGGGUGAUCGGCCACACUGGAACUGAGACACGGUCCAGACUCCUACGGGAGGCAGCAGUAGGGAAUCUUCCGCAAUGGGCGAAAGCUUGACGGAGCAACGCCGCGUGAGUGAUGAAGGUCUUCGGAUCGUAAAACUCUGUUAUUAGGGAAGAACAAAUGUGUAAGUAACUAUGCACGUCUUGACGGUACCUAAUCAGAAAGCCACGGCUAACUACGUG
rnacentral:rRNA from 1 species